rnacentral:lncRNA from 1 species
CCAGGGUUCAAAAAGAGUAAGAAGAGAGGAAUGUUCAGAGCCCUGGGGAAAAAAUUGUCAAAUCAACCUUGAGGAGCAAGAGAGCUUACAACGAUUUGUAGUUCCCAUACACCUAGUGCGCUAAUUUCUCUUAAUUAGAUUAUUUGCUUUUAGAACUUUAUUAUGAAUGGCCAGCCAACAAAGGAUUUUAAUUUUGUUUGGGAUGAGGCACUUCUUAAGUCGCUUAGCGAAAGAUGGAUUAGUGCACCAUGUCUAAGAAAGUUAUAGCA